rnacentral:rRNA from 1 species
AAUACGUGAGUAACCUGCCCUCCUUUUUGGGAUAAGCCUGGGAAACGGGGUCUAAUACCGGAUAUUCUGGCAUGCUCGCAUGGGUGUGUUGGGAAAGCUUUAUGUGAAGGGGGAUGGGCUCGCGGCCUAUCAGCUUGUUGGUGGGGUGAUGGCCUACCAAGGCGGUGACGGGUAACCGGCCUGAGAGGGUGACCGGCCACAUUGGGACUGAGAUACGGCCCAGACUCCUACGGGAGGCACCAGUGGGGGAUAUUGCGCAAUGGGCGAAAGCCUGAUGCAGCGACGCCGCGUGGGGGAUGAAGGCCUUCGGGUUGUAAACCUCUUUCGCUAUCGAACAAGGCUCAUUUUUUGGUGGGUUGAGGGUUAGGUGGAGAAGAAGCGCCGGCUCAACUACGUGCCAGCAACCGCGGUUAUACGUAGGGCGCGAGCGUUGUCCGGAAUUAUUGGGCGUAAAGGGCUUGUAGGCGGCUUGUUGCGCUUGCGGUGAAAACGCGGGGCUAACAUUCGCGCGUGCAGUGGGUACGGGCAGGCUUGAGUGUGGUAGGGGUGACUGGAAUUCCAGGUGUAGCGGUGGAAUGCGCAGAUAUCUGGAGGAACACCGAUGGCGAAGGCAGGUCACUGGGCCAUUACU